rnacentral:rRNA from 1 species
ACGGGGUGCAGCAGGCGCGAAACCUUUACAAUGCACGAAAGUGUGAUAAGGGGAUUCCAAGUGUGCAUAUACCAUAUGCACUUUUCUGGAGUGUAAAGAGCUUCAGGAAUAAGGGGUGGGUAAGACUAGUGCCAGCCGCCGCGGUAAAACUAGCAUCCCAAGUGGCAGUCACCAUUACUGGGCUUAAAGCGUUCGUAGCUUGUCUUGAAAGUCUCUGGUGAAAUCCUGCGGCUUAACCGUAGGGCUUGCCGGAGAAACUACAAGACUUGAGGACAGGAGAGGAUAGGGGUACUUUUGGGGUAGGGGUGAAAUCCUAUAAUCCUAAAAGGACCAACAGUGGCGAAGGCGCCUAUCAUGGAUGUGCCUGACAGUGAGGAACGAGAGCCAGGGUCGCGAAACGGAUUAGAUACCCGUGUAGUCCUGGCCGUAAACGAUGUUGACUAGGUGGGGUGUGAUCUUAGUGAUCAUGCUAUGCCGAAGGGAAACCGUUAAGUCAACCGCCUGGGGAGUACG